rnacentral:rRNA from 1 species
CCUACGGUGCGCAGCAGUCGAGAAUCAUUCACAAUGGGGGAAACCCUGAUGGUGCGACGCCGCGUGGGGGAAUGAAGGUCUUCGGAUUGUAAACCCCUGUCAUGUGGGAGCAAAUUAAAAAGAUAGUACCACAAGAGGAAGAGACGGCUAACUCUGUGCCCGCAGCCGCGGUAAUACAGAGGUCUCAAGCGUUGUUAGGAAUCACUGGGCGUAAAGCGUGCGUAGGAUGUUUCGUAACUCGUGUGUAAAAGGCGCGGGCUAAACACGCGGACGGCAAAGGAUACUGCGAGACUAGAGUAAUGGAGGGGGAACCGGAAUUCGCGGUGUAGCAGUGAAAUGCGUAGAUAUCGAGAGGAACACUCGUGGCGAAGGCGGGUUCCUGGACAUUAACGGACGCUGAGGCACGAAGGCCAGGGGAGCGAAAGGGAUUAGAUACCCGGGUAGUC